AUCCAGCUGACGAGUCCAAAAUAGAGCGAAACGCGCGUCCUGGAU
rfam:Schistosoma mansoni, Puerto Rico, WGS project CABG01000000 data, contig: 0149